rnacentral:lncRNA from 1 species
CCGGGGCUACAGAGGUAGAGACAGUGUGCUCAGGCAUGAUUUCAGGAGAGCUGCUCCUGUCUACUCCCCCAGCACCCAGGUGUGUUGUAGGCACUGACCCUUUCUUCCCGCUGCCUGGCUAAUGGAGGCUUUGGGGCUGCAGAAUAUAGAUGCUGAACGUCCCAGGACUCUGUGCAGCACUCCCUGGACAGUUCGUGGUGGCUGAGACAAGCAGGCUCCUGCCCAGCACAAGCCCUGUGGACCAUCACAGGGAAGCAGAGCGUGGAAAUUG